rnacentral:sRNA from 1 species
AUGGACCGCCCGUACCCUCCGGCUCCUGCGCCGUCCACAUACACCUGACCACUGCUCGCUACGUUUUGUGAGCC